rnacentral:rRNA from 1 species
AAUAGAGAAUCUCAUAAACCGUGGCUCAGUUCAGAUCGUAGGCUGCAACUCGCCUACGUGAAGGAGGAAUCGCUAGUAAUCGCAGGUCAGCAUACUGCGGUGAAUACGUUCCCGGGCCUUGUACACACCGCCCGUCACACCAUGGAAGUUGGCCACGCCCGAAGCCGUUACUCCAACCCUUGUGGAGGAGGACGUCGAAGGUGGGGCUGAUGACUGGGGUGAAGUCGUAACAAGGUAGCCGUACCGGAAGGUGCGGCUGGAUCACCUCCUAA